UCGAAUGUUGGCGGCAAGUAUAAGGCAUGCAAGUCGAACGAAUAUUAUCGGUGCUUGCAUUGAUAAUGUUAGUGGCAAACGGGAGCGUAACACAUUGGUAACCUACCUUAAACUCGCGAAUAACUAUUGGAAACGAUAGCUAAUACGCGAUAUUGAUACACUGACUAUGUCUAUGUAUCGAAAGUUCCGGCGGUUUAAGAGGGGCCUAUGGUCUAUCAGCUAGUUGGUGGGGUAAUGGCCCACCAAGGCAAUGACGGAUACCGGGUGUGAGAGCAUUACCCGGCUCACUGGGACUGAGACACGGCCCAGACACCUACGGGUGGCUGCAGUCGAGAAUCUUCCUCAAUGCACGAAAGUGUGAAGGAGCUAUGCCGCGUGUCGGAUGACGGUUUUCGGAUCGUAAACGACUGUCCUGGGGGACGAAUUCAUGACGGUACCCCAGAAGAAAGAGGUUGCUAACUCUGU
rnacentral:rRNA from 1 species